rnacentral:rRNA from 1 species
GACGAACGCUGGCGGCGUGCUUAACACAUGCAAGUCGAACGGAAAGGCCCUGCUUUUGUGGGGUGCUCGAGUGGCGAACGGGUGAGUAACACGUGAGUAACCUGCCCUUGACUUUGGGAUAACUUCAGGAAACUGGGGCUAAUACCGGAUAGGAGCUCCUGCUGCAUGGUGGGGGUUGGAACGUUUCGGCGGUUGGGGAUGGACUCGCGGCUUAUCAGCAUGUUGGUGGGGUAGUGGCUUACCAAGGCUUUGACGGGUAGCCGGCCUGAGAGGGUGACCGGCCACAUUAGGCCUGAGAUACGGCCCAGACUCCUACGGGAGGCAGCAGUGGGGAAUAUUGCACAAUGGGCGGAAGCCUGAUGCAGCAACGCCGCGUGCGGGAUAACGGCCUUCGGGUUGUAAACCGCUUUCGCCUGUGACGAAGCGUGAGUGACGGUAAUGGGUAAAGAAGCACCGGCUAACUACGUG